GACGAACGCUGGCGGCGUGCUUAACACAUGCAAGUCGAACGGAAAGGCCCUGCUUUUGUGGGGUGCUCGAUUGGCGAACGGGUGAGUAACACGUGAGUAACCUGCCCUUGACUUUGGGAUAACUUCAGGAAACUGGGGCUAAUAUCGGAUAGGAGCUCCUGCUGCAUGGGGGGGGUUGGAAAGUUUCGGCGGUUGGGGAUGGACUCGCGGCUUAUCAGCUUGUUGGUGGGGUAGUGGCUUACCAAGGCUUUGACGGGUAGCCGGCCUGAGAGGGUGACCGGCGACAUUGGGACUGAGAUACGGCCCAGACUCCUACGGGAGGCAGCAGUGGGGAAUAUUGCACAAUGGGCGGAAGCCUGAUGCAGCAACGCCGCGUGCGGGAUGACGGCCUUCGGGUUGUAAACCGCUUUCGCCUGUGACGAAGCGUGAGUGACGGUAAUGGGUAAAGAAGCACCGGCUAACUACGUG
rnacentral:rRNA from 1 species